rnacentral:rRNA from 1 species
CAGAUUGCAGGCUGCAACUCGCCUGCAUGAAGUCGGAAUUGCCAGUAAUCGUAGGUCAGCAUACUACGGUGAAUACGUUCCCGGGCCUUGUACACACCGCCCGUCAAACCAUGAGAGUUGGCAACACCCGAAGUCGGUAGUCUAACCGCAAGGAGGACGCCGCCGAAGGUGGGGUUGAUGAUUAGGGUUAAGUCGUAACAAGGUAAC